UGGAGUUUAGCCAAUCUCCAGUCUGACUGACAAUAAAUGGAAGUGGAUCUGCAACAGCCGAAAUAUAGAGAAUCAAAUAGGCCAAGAUCAUUCACUAGGCACUUCUGUGCUGUGGGUCAGUCCUCAAAGUCGUUGCAGCAUUCAGGCGUUUCACCGCCAUGCUGGAGUUCCGCUUGACUGCAUCUGAUGACACCUGGAACGUGAUUGUCACCAUAUAGAUGUCGUCCCGCCCUGUAUUUUCUUUUGUUCUUGAUUGGAAGGAUGAUGAUCAUGACAGCCUCUGUUGCAAAUCUCCGUCCUGCAAAAAAUAGAUUAGAAUCAAGUUGGAGGAAGAAGAAGAUGAACGAGAAACCACGGCAGGCUAAGAGAUGAAGAAUGGAUGUAGAAGUCUCGACUAUUUAUACAAAAAACCAAGCAAUUAACCAGAAACAUAUAUACAUAGAUUCUUCCUAGAAUCUUGGUGGUGAUCCAAAAGGAAGCUUCCUAUAUAUAAGGUGGAUACGAUGGCGCUGGCCGGGGCUGAGAUCAGGCGGUGCGGUGAGGAAGAAUUUGAGGGACAGGGGGACAGGUCUUACUGCUCAUCUCACAGAUCACAAGAUGCGCACCCGCCUUAUGAUGCUGUGAGAUGAACAUAGCCAUGAUCCAACUGUGGGUGCCGGUGAGAUGCGCGGACGAGGGCCAGCAGAUGCCGGGUCAACCGCACUCUCCAUUAGAUAAAAUAAAUAAAUAACUUUGGGGGGAAGUAUCUACCAAC
rnacentral:lncRNA from 1 species